UUUUUUUGCAUAUCAAUAAGCGGAGGAAAAGAAACCAACAGGGAUUGCCUCAGUAACGGCGAGUGAAGCGGCAAAAGCUCAAAUUUGAAAUCCUUCGGGAAUUGUAUUUUGAAGGUGGGUUUGGUUAGGAAAAGUUACUUUAAGUCCAUUGGAAAAUGGCGCCAUGGAGGGUGAUAGCCCCGUAAAAGUAUCCCUUUUCCUUUUAUCCAUUCCCUCCAAAGAGUCGAGUUGUUUGGGAAUGCAGCUCUAAGUGGGUGGUAAAUUCCAUCUAAAGCUAAAUAUUGGCGAGAGACCGAUAGCGAACAAGUACAGUGAUGGAAAGAUGAAAAGCACUUUGAAAAGAGAGUGAAAAAGUACGUGAAAUUGUUGAAAGGGAAGGGCUUGCAAGCAGACACAACCUCGGUUGGGCCAGCAUCGGAGUGGGGGGAGACAAAAAAGAAAAGGAAUGUAACUCAUUGAGUAUUAUAGCCUUUUUCUCAUAUCUCCACCCCCUUCCGAGGCCUGCGANUCUUCAAGGAUGCUGGCGUAAUGGUUGCAAGUCGCCCGUCUUGAAACACGGACCACAAAACCC
rnacentral:rRNA from 1 species